CUAUACAUGACUCUGCGCAUAUCAAUAAGCGGAGGAAAAGAAACUAACAAGGAUUCCCCUAGUAACGGCGAGUGAAGCGGGAAGAGCUCAAAUUUGAAAUCUUAAAGGGUUUCCCUUUACGAAUUGUAGUUUAAAGAAGUGUUUUCUGUUGAGGUUUUGGUAAAAGUUCUUUGGAAUAGGACAUCAUAGAGGGUGAGAAUCCCGUAUUUGACCUUUACUUUCAACUUUGUGAUACACUUUCAAAGAGUCGGAUUGUUUGGGAAUGCAGUCCAAAAUGGGUGGUAAAUUUCAUCUAAAGCUAAAUAUUGGCGAGAGACCGAUAGCGAACAAGUACCGUGAGGGAAAGAUGAAAAGAACUUUGAAAAGAGAGUUAAACAGUACGUGAAAUUGUCAAAAGGGAAGCGUUUGACACCAGUGUUGUUUUUCUGAAAAGUCAAUUAAAGAACUGUUUAUGCUAAGUUGUUUAGACUUUAUCAGCUGACUGUUUAGUUUUGAGCUUUUCUUUAAUGCACUUUUCAGUUAACAAGUCAACAUCAAUUUCUUUUGCUGUAAAAAAGCUUGAGGAAGGUGGCUUGAGAUUCGUCUUAAGUGUUUAUAGCCUCUUGCCUAUGCAGUCGGAGAGAUUGAGGUCUGCAGCGUAGAUCCUUCGGGGCUAAAUGCAUUUGUGCUAAGUUAUAGCAUUUUAUAGACAACUUGUUGACUAUGAUUUGUCUUGUAGCUUACUCGCUUAUGUUAUUUUACCUACGCUUAGGAUGUUGAUCUACAGAGCGAGAGU
rnacentral:rRNA from 1 species